rnacentral:lncRNA from 1 species
UUGAAACAGAAGUACAGGAGUACCAAUGGAUUGAUUUGAUUUCAAAAUUAUUAACAAGCUUUCUUCUUCCAUGCUUUUCUUCUGGACAAUGCAAAAAAUUAAGAAUUAAAAGAUUAUUUGUGAUUAAUUUUUUGUAACUGAAGGGAAUCCAGGGAACAAAUUGCCAUUUGAAGUGGUUAUCAUCCCAAAUAGAGAAGUAACAAUUAUUUUUCAGGACCUCUUGACCUAUUUAAUCAAGUCCCUACUUUUAGGGAAACAAUCUCAUUUCUGACUUGCACUUUUCUUUAUUUCUCUCUUAUGUCUUUAUCAGGUGAUUAAUGUUAAAUAUGCAGCUUAUCCCUCCUUAGAGAAAAGUAAUAUUGAUUUUAUUCACAGGAUAAAUUAAUUUCCAUCAGCAUUUUAACUUCAACAGAUUCAGAAUUUUUCCUGAGGAAUAGAAAGAAAUACUACUGGAAGGAAAUGAAGUUUUGCUAUUGAUGAAUCAGGAAGUACCACGCAUUUCAUUUUGAUAGCAGAAUUAACUGGGACAUCAAAAUGGCUAUGGAUCAGACUUAAAAUUCAUUCCAGAAUUUUUAAGAAGCUAUGGUACCGCGUGAUGGUCAAUGCAGCCUAACACAUUUUGACCAUCUGGAGGUGUUAGGAAUGGAGCUCCCCUCCACAGAAGAGCAGGCACGUGGUGUGAGAGACUUGCAUUCCUGGAGCACAGCUCUGAAAAGAUUUCCUCUUAAUUAUAAUUCUUCCAAGCUAAGAGCAAUGAAGAAUAUUCAACUUGUCUCAUGUUCUUCCUCUGACAAGCCUCCUUGACCACUAAGAUGGGGGUGAGGAUUUCAUCUGAGCUUACUUGAAAAUGAGCAAAUUAAAGACCAUAACUGAGAUGUUUACAGUUGCAACAUGGUGAACAAACAGAUAAGGU